UCGGCGCAGCAUGGCUCCCCCCGCGCCCGGGGCGCUGCCUCUCCUCCUCCUCCUGCACCUCGCCGCCUCCUCCAAGCUCAACACCCCCAAGGUGCUGCUCCCUUUCACCCGCGGCACCCGCGUCAACUUCACGCUAGAGGCCAGCGAGGGUUGCUACCGAUGGUCGUCCACGCGGCCGGAGGUGGCCAGCAUCGAGCCGCUGGGGCAGGACGGCUGCCGCUGCUCGCAGAGAGCGCUGGUCCAGGCGCGCUCCUCGCAGCCCACGCGCCUCACCGCCAUCAUCUCUGCCGAGGACACACUGACUGGACAAGUGCUUCGCUGUGAUGCCAUUGUUGAUUUGAUUCAUGGCAUUCAAGUGGUGUCCACAACGAGAGAGCUCUACCUCGAGGAUUCACCGCUGGAGCUCAAAAUUCAUGCUUUGGAUUCAGAAGGAAACACUUUCAGCACUUUGGCAGGGUUGGUGUUUGACUGGACAGUGGUGAAGGACCCAGAGGCCGAUGGCUUCUCAGACUCGCACAAUGCUCUACGUAUACUCAAGUUCUUAGAAUCCACUUACAUCCCACCUUCCUAUAUAUUGGAAAUGGAGAAAGUUGCCAAGCAAGGAGAUACCAUCCUGGUGUCUGGAAUGAAGACAGGGAGUUCUAAAUUAAAGGCAAGACUUCAGGAAAGCAUCUAUAAGGAUGUACACCCUGCAGAAGUCAGAUUGCUUAUUUUGGAAAACAUCCUUUUAAAUCCAGUGUAUGACAUUUAUCUUCUGGUAGGAACAUCAAUUCAGUACAGAGUUCAGAAACUGAGGCAAGGGAAGAUCACAGAAAUAGCGAUGCCAUCAGACCAGUACGAGCUGCAGCUCCAGAACAACGUCCUCCAUCCCAAGGGAGAUCUCUCCCGGCCAGUUGCCAAGCUGGACCGGGCAACAUCCACUGUGACUGCAUUGCAGCAGGGCCAAGCCAACCUGGUCCUGGUGCACAAGAAUAUCCGCAUGCAGGGGGUGUCCAGGCUGCCCAACAGCACUGUCUAUGUGGUACCUCCUGCGUAUUUGGGAUUUACAGUUCAUCCAGGUGACAGAUGGGUCCUGGAAACGGGCAGACUUUAUGAAAUUACGAUUGACGUGUAUGAUAAAUCAAGCAAUAAGGUGUAUUUAUCUGAUAACAUCAGGAUUACUACAGAGCUGUCCAAAGAAUACUUUGAGGUGCUGCAGUCCUCUCUGAAUGGAUCCUAUCACUAUGUGAUGGCAGUGAAGGCGGGCCUGACCACGAUUGAUGCUGCCCUGACGUCAGUAGUUGAUCAGGAUGGAGGUGUUCAUACCUUACCAGUUCCGGUGCAAAACCAGCAGGAUGUGGAGAUCUAUGUUCCAAUAUUUCUUUUGCCCAGCAUUCUGAUGUUUCCUUGGCAGCCAAGAGCAGGAGUGUACCAGUACACCAUCCAGGCUCAGGGUGGAAGUGGCAACUUCAGCUGGUCCUCUUCUAACCAGGCAGUAGCCACAGUGACAGUCAAAGGAGUCAUGAGCACUGGGAGUGAUGCUGGGGUCAGCAUCAUCCAGGCGUUCGACGUUCGGAAUCCGUUGCAUUAUGGAGAAAUGAAGGUGUACGUCAGCGAGCCCAGCGCCAUGGAGUUCGCUCCCUGCCGGGUGGAAGCGCACGUGGGGCAGGUGCUGGAGCUGCCCCUGAGGAUCAGCGGCCGCACCGGCGGGGACGGGGCUGAGCUGGUGCCCCUGAGCGACUGCUCACACCUGGAGCUCGCCCUGGAGCUGGAGAACCCUGCCGUGUUCAGCCCGCUUGAAGGAAGACUUAAGCCCACUGCUGAUUUUUGCAGCGGGGUGAGGGUGAAGGCUGAAUUUCAGGGGUCCACCAGGCUGGUGGCGGUGUACACCCACGGGCAGGUGCGCCUCAGUGCCAGCAUCGCCAUCGCCGCGUAUCUGCCUCUGAGGGUUAUUGAUCCGCCAUCUGUCGCUUUAGUGACUUUGGGCUCCUCUAAGGAUAUGUUGUUUGAAGGAGGACCGAGGCCAUGGGUCCAAGAACCUUCCAAGUUCUUCAGGAACGUCACUGCUGAGGAUGCAGAAAGCAUUGCCCUGUCUUUACUCGAACCCCCCACACCUCGAAACAACAACCAGCACUGGGUUAGGGUGCUGUGCAGGAGCCUGGGAGAGCAGGUUAUUACCUUAACAGUUGGGAACAGCCCCACCGUGACCAACCCCUUCCCAGUGGUGGAACCUGCUGUGGCCAAGUUUGUCUGUGCUGUCCCUUCCCGGCUGGCUUUGAUCCCUGUUUAUGGCAGCCCUCAGCUUGAUCUCUCCUGCCCUUUGCUCCAGCAGAACAAGCAAGUGGUUCCCGUUUCCAAUUACCGCAAUCCAAUGCUGGAUUUGGCUGCCUAUGACCAGCAAGGCAGGAAAUUUGACAACUUCAGCUCUCUUAGUGUGGUGUGGGAAUCCACAAAUAAGGCCAUUGCUCGUAUUGAGCCCGAGCUGCCAAUGGAGCUGACUCUGAAGGAGGAGGGGAAUGGUCAGAAGAAAAUGCAUGGCUUACAGACUGUGGUAGUUGACCGUGAGUUUGGAACUGCUGCCAUCUCUGCCACUGCCACUGGAUUCCAGCAGCCCCACCUGAAGGCAGCCAGAGCCAAACUACAGCACGAAGCUGUGCUCCCAGGGCCUGCCACCAUCGAACUGAUGCUCGUGGAAGAUGUGAAGGUGAGCCCUGCUGGGCUCUCCAUCUACAACCACCCUGAUGUCCAGGCAAAGCUUCUCAUCCAACAAGGUUCUGGAUAUUUUUUCAUUAAUACCAGCGUGCCAAAUAUUGUAAGAGUGACACAUGAGGAGACUCAAGGCGUUGCUUUGGUGCAGCCUCUGCUCCCAGGAUCAGUGACUGUCAUGAUUCAUGACCUGUGUCUGGCUUUCCCUGCCCCAGCUGAAGCUGAAAUUCAUGUGUCUGAUAUCCAGGAGCUGUAUGUGCGAGUUGUUGACAAGGUGGAGAUUGGAAAAACAGUUAAGGCUUAUGUCAGAGUUCUGGAUGAUUCAAAGAAACCUUUUUUGGCAAAAUACUUCCCUGUCAUGGAUCUCAGUCUCAGAGCAGCAUCUCAGCUUGUCUCACUUGUCCCCCUGAGGGAGGCUCUGGAUGACCACACUGCUGCUUUCCUGGUGCGUGGGAUGAGCAUUGGGCAGACGAGUCUGAUGGCAACUGUGGCUGACAGAAGAGGACAGAGAAUCAGCUCUGCUCCACAGCAGAUUGAAGUCUUUCCCCCAUUUAGACUACUGCCAAGGAAAGUGACCCUAAUUAUUGGGGCCAUGAUUCAGAUCACUGCUGAAGGGGGCCCCCAGCCCCUCUCCAACAUCAUUUUCUCCAUCGACAACAAGCACAUUGCAUCAGUGAACGGCUCUGGGCUGGUCAGAGGAGUGGCCAUUGGCACUGGGGUGGUGACAGGAGUGCUGCAGGCUGUUGAUGCAGAGACAGAGAAGCUUGUGGCAGUGUCCCAGGACAAGGUGGAAGUUGAGGUGGUGCAGCUGACAGCUGUGAGAAUUCGGGCACCCAUUACUCGGAUGAAAGCUGGCACUCAGAUGCCAGUUUAUGUCAUGGGCAUCACCAGCACUCAGACUCCUUUCUCCUUUGGCAAUGCUGUGCCAGGGCUAACGUUCCACUGGUCUGUCACCAAGAGGGACACUCUGGAUGUCAGGACCAGGCACAGUGAGGCUGCUUUUCAGCUUCCUGCAAACUACAACUUUGCAGUGGACGUUUAUGGCAGAGUCAAGGGAAGGACGGGCCUGAAAGUUGUAGUGAAGGUCCUUGAUGCUGCAGCCAACCAGUUCUACAACAUGGCCAGAGAGCUGUCUGAUGAAAUCCAAAUCCAGGUGUUUGAAAAACUUCAUCUAGUCACUCCAGAGGUAGAAACAGAGCAGAUCUUAAUGUCACCAAAUUCCUUUAUCAAACUUCGGACCAACAGGGACCGAGUGGCCUCGCUGAGUUACCGUGUCCUGGAUGGAGCAGACAAAGUACCUGUUGUGAAAAUCGAUGAGAGAGGAUUCCUGGUCUCUGGCUCUGUGAUCGGCUCCUCGACCAUCGAGGUGACUUCCCAAGAGCUGUUUGGCAUCAACCAGACCAUCAUAGCUGCUGUGAAGGUCUGCCCCAUCUCCUACCUCAGGAUCUCCAUGAGGCCAGUCCUGCUCACCCAGAACAAAGAGGCACUGCUGGCCCUGCCCCUGGGGCUGACACUGACGUUUACGGUCCAUUUCCACGAUAACUCUGGAGAUACUUUCCAUUCACACAAUGCUGUGCUCAGCUUUGCCACCAACAGAGACGACUUGGUGCAGAUCGCCAAGGGAGCCGCCAACAACACCUUCGUGGUCAGGACUGUGAACGUGGGGCUCACCCUGCUCAGGGUGUGGGAUGCAGAGCACCGUGGCACUGCAGACUACAUCCCACUGCCUGUGCAGCAUGCCAUCUUCCCAGAGCUGCCAGACGUGGUGCUGGGGGAUGUCCUGUGCCUGAGGACCUCGCUGACAGCACAGGAAGGCCUGCCAGGCGUGUGGAGCUCCUCCUCAAGCGCUCUUCUUCUGGUGGACUCCAAGACUGGCGUGGCCCUGGCGAGGGACUCGGGGCUGGUCACGGUGUUCUAUGAGAUCCCCGGGUUACUGAAAACCUACAGAGAGAUCUUGAUUAAUGCCCCUCAGAGGACCACAGCAAUGCAUGUCAGCGGCAUGCAGGCAAGCUUGCAGGGAGCGGCAGCCUCAAAAGUCAUCGUUUCAAUUGGGGAAAGUAACAAAAACUUGAAAGGGGAGUGUUCACCUGCUCAGACUGAGGCCAUUGCUGAGUUACAACCCCAGUCCAUUAUCAGUUGCCAUCUCGAUUUCAGCAGUGAUGCCUUUGACUUCCCAGCACAGGAUAUUUUUGUGGCAGAGCCCGGGUUUGAUGCAGUUUCAGGACACUACACGUGCUCCAUCAGGAUGCACAGCCUCGCUGACAAGCAGCUGAAGCAGCUGAGCAGGAGCAAAGCCGCGCUGCGGGUGACGGCGGCGCUGCGGGGCGGCGCCGUGCCCGGCGAGCGGCUGGGCACAGAGGUGCCCUUCAACCGCUGGUUCUACGCCGACCAGGCCGAGAUGCUGCUCAGCAACCAGGACGUCAGCUCCGUCCUGAAGAUCUUCGGUGCCAGUGAAAUCCUGGAUAGCCUGGAGGUGAAAUGCGAGUCCCCGGCAGUGAAGGUGCUGGAGAAGGAGAAGUCCUACGGGCUGCCCAGUUACGUGGUGUACACUGUGAGCCUGGCUGAUCCCAGGGUUCCCAGCCAGGGCUCCCUGUCCACCUCUCUGACUGUCUCCAGUCCCGUGACAGAGCAGUCCCUCAGCAUCCCAGUGACGGUGAUCUACCUGACCGACAGAACCACCACUCCCAUCAGAUAUGAAGCCAGUCUCUUCCAGCAGUUUGUUGAGUCUUACCAGGUGAUGAUCUUCACGCUUUUUGCACUCUUAGCAGGGACAGCUGUUAUGAUCAUAGCCUACCACGCGUUCUUCUCGCCGAACGGACAGCACAAUCAGCUCGUAUUCCACCCAAGGACAAGUCUUCAGCACAGCCCUGACAGUUCCCUGGUGUCCCCUGCACAUUCCUUCAGCUCGCAGGCGUCCAGCAGGCAGAGCAGCCCCUCGGCCCCGCUCUGGAGCACGGGUUAUGCCUCUCGGUGAGGGAGCACGGCUGCUCCUGCUGCAGGUGAACACCAGCGCACAGCUCAGUGCCUUAGCAAGCUCAGCAGCUUCAGCAGUCGCGGUCUCGUUCGAGUUUGCUCUGGAGUACAACUAGGUCCUUAAUUUAUUUAUUUUUUUUUAAAAAAAAAUUAGGGCUCUUUGAGUUGUAUUUGUUUUUCUGUCAGUGCUUCAGUUCUCGAAAGCUUGUUUUAUCUGUUUUGCUGCCUUCACAAAAAGCAGUGUUUAUGCUAGUUCUGGCUUUCCUGCACUCUUAAAGCAACUAGAAGUUACGUCUAAGUUAGACCAAUAGCAGGUUUUUUAUUUACUUUUUUUUGUAAAAAUUAGAUUUCUUUUUAAUGAACUCUUUUUUUUUUUUUUAAAAAAAAAGGGAGAUUAGAAAAACAGACGAAAUAUGAGCCAAAACCGUGAAGGAUUGUAUAUUUCGAAGAACUAGUUUUUAUUUUGCGUUCCGAAAACUCAGGAAUGUAUUGCACUGAUAAGUGUUCUUACAUUUAGCCUUACACUGGGAUUCAUCAGCACAAUGUGCUGGUUUAGCACGAGGAAUGCUGCAACAACUGUGAAUAAUUUGGAAGUUUUUUUACAACAAUGACUAAAAAAAGGACAAAAAAAAAAAGAGCUUAGUGUGGCUUCCUUUGGGUACAACUGCAGUAUUCCUUGGUGCUGUAAGCACUUUCUUGAACUGGGAAUGUGAAAGCAUGUGCCUUCUAAGUGGACCUUUCUUCCAGUAGGAAUCCUUUAUUUUGAGGAUAUAAUCACUUUUAUUUGUAAGCAGAGUUUUGCAGCUAUCAGCAUUUCAUCUGGAAAAGCUUCCAGAAGUGAAGUUCCUGCAUUUCUCUCCAAAGAGAGCGGGAUGGAUGCACUUGAGGGGUCCUGAUCCAAGGGAAAGCUGCACUCACGGCGAGAGCUCUGUGUAUGUCCAACCACCACGGGGCUGGCACCACGUCCAGGACACAAGGACAUGGUCCUUUCCCAAGGACUCUGCACAAGAGGACACAUUUGGGUUUUGCCUGCUAACAUUCCCUGGUACCUCUUACCAAAACAAGAUACAGAAGCAGAAAAAUCACAGAAACGGACAAAAGCUCCCAGGAAAUCUUUAAUGAAAGGUGCAUUAGGAUGAAGGCUUGGUUGAAGCUGCGUACUUAGAUGGAUUAGUUCUGGACCACACUUCGCAGGCAAAGCUCCAGGCUCAGCUACAGGACCUGGAGGAGCCAAUUUAUCAUUUCUUCCAUAAAUCAAAAGGCAGUUCCUACAAACAGUAAUGAUCGGUCCACUCAGGAUCAGACUCAGAAAAUUAAAAAUUUCUACUUCUUUGUGGAGACACUUUAAAAUAGGGCCAGUAAUUUUACCAUGCUUAGCCCAGGCUAUCUCAAGCAAUUCAGGAGCUGGUCAGGGUGAGAACAGCCUAAUUCUCCAAAUGCCAUCCAAGCCAGACGGGCUCUGUGGGGUGGAGCGAGCCAGGAGGCUCCUGAGGGUGGGGCAGGUAUUCUCCCUUUUCAAAGGAGGGGUGGAGGUACACAGAUCGAGUCUAAAUACACUCCAUUCAACUAAGAAAGAAAGUGUAACACGAUCGUAUUUUACAAGAGAUUAUCAUGAAGAAGGUUAGUGGUAGAAAAGGCACGAGGAAGUUUCAUGCCUUUAAGUAGAAAUCAGAUAAACUGUUAAGAAAAAUAAGAUGUCGGGUCCUAAAAGUGGUUUAUGUUUAACCAGGAGAGGGAGAAAACCAGAAACAUCACAUUUCCUGAAAGAUUUCAGGUCUUUAUGGCUGCGCUUUCUCCUUUUUCUUGUUUAACACCUCAGAGUCGGGUCUCAUCUCACAGGCAUCAGCAGCUCAUGGUCCCGGUCAGCAGUGGGAUUCCCAGUUCCUCUUUUCCCCCAGGGAUCCCCAAAGGAGGCAGCAAAUGGGCCCCCAGAAUGUUGUUUUUUGUGGUUCUAUGCAGCUGCUCCACUGGAGGGGAGCAGGCGCUGCUGGGGUGUGCUGAGAGCACAGGAGAGCAGAACUUCUGUCCUGCCUUAGGACACGAGGAGGGGACACGGGGGCUAAACACAGGGUGUGAGAAGGGGCUCGGACCUAACACUGAAAGAGGAGGCAGUGAGAUGAGAUGUUAGGAAGGAAUUUCUGGCUGGGAGGGUGCUGAGGCCCUGGCACAGGGUGCCCAGAGCAGCUGUGUCUGCCCCUGGAUCCCUGGCAGUGCCCAAGGCCAGGCUGGACAGGGCUGGGAGCAGCCUGGGACAGCAGGAGGUGUCCCUGCCAUGGCAGAGCUGGCACUGGAAGGUCCCUCCAACCCAGUCCAUGUGUGACUUCUGUGACCUACAUAUAAAUUCUAACAACAGGAUGAACUUGAAGAGCAGGAUAAAAUUCCUCAGUGUCUAAGCACAGCAGCAGAACCGAGAAGUGAGGCAGAGAUUUAAGGGGGCUGGGGGGGGAUCUAAGGGAGAAUUGCAACCAAGAAAGAAGCGGCUUCGAAGAGAAUUUUAAAAGAGAGAGAUGGAGGGUAGAGUUAAGAUUGAGCACAAAUCACUGCAUGACUUCUGGAUCCUUGUUUUUUAAUAUUACACUGACCUAAUUGAUUUUACAUAGGAAAAUAUGUAUCACAG